rnacentral:tRNA from 1 species
GCCUCCGUGGCGCAAUCGGCUAGCGCGUUCGGCUGUUAACCGAAAGCUUGGAGGUUAGAGCCCUCCCGGGGGCG